ACCCUGGGGCUCAGUGGUUAAGAGCCAGGGACCCUUCUUCAAGAGGUUGUUGGUUUGAAUCCAGCCUAGGGUA